rnacentral:misc_RNA from 1 species
CUAGUGUCGGCUCCUCUCAAAUGGAUCAGCUUGCCAGUGUUUGGUGGCAUCACAGGUGUGAUAACUAUCUACGCUCGUGGUUUUCUGCCAUAUAACCUUCAGUGAUGGAGGUUCGCUGGAGCUCACAGAUGUCUCUCCUUGGGGAGGACAGCUUUUGAACGUUUGAUCUCAAAUCAGGUAGGACUACCCGCUGAACUUAA